GUACUCCCAUUGCUUCAGCAAAAAUCUGUGUAGGAGGAGUCCUUCUCAGCCACCCAUUCACUCCCAGAACUGGAUGGCUCUGGAAAAGUUUAGGAUUGUAUUUAUUCUUUCAGCUUGGAAGAAGAGAAACCACUGUGGAUAUCAACCAUUUGUUCCAUGGCUGCUCCUGUGACUCUUGGGGUGCCAGUGAUUGUAGCAGACCACCUCUAGAUCCAGAUUUCCUCCCCAUCUACUGAUAAGAGGGACGUUCAUACAAGAACUCUAACUUGUGCCAUUAUUGACUGCACCAUUAGGAGACAUCUGAAGUCUGGAAAGCAGGUCAUUGAGUGCACAUCACUUGGUAAGGCUCUUGACAAGGCAGA
ensembl:lncRNA